CGUGAGCCGAGCCAUGGCCAACGUCAAGGUGGCCGUGCGGGUCCGGCCUCUGAGCAAAAGCCCCUCGCCGCCCCACUAAAUAGCUCGGAAAGUUUGCUUAGAAAAGUCUCCCAGUGGAGCUGUUCGGCUGACUUCUCUCUUCCUGAGCUCCCCGAAACAGGACAAUUGUCACACAGUGUCCGGGAGUCUUCCCUUCCCCUUCUGUUGUUGCUGUUUUUUCCAGCGGGAGGCAGAGCCGGAUAUUCCCAUUGUCGCUCAGCUCCGCUCCCUCCCCGGCUUGCUUGGCUCCAAUGGAAAUCCCAAAAGCUACAUGUUACAGCUGGAAAACAACUCCCACAAACAAGAAGAUGCCGUAGCACAAUGCUCUGGUGUUAUUUGUAUAUAACAUGUGCUUAAAACCUUGCAGGCUUUGGAAAUUCGGAGCGGAAAAGAAAGAGAAAAAGCGUGCAGCCCCAAUGUCAGCAGCUGGUAAUUUAGUCCUCGUGUUAAAGAAAUGCUAUAGCACUCCAAACAGGAAUGAUUUGGAAAGUGGUACAAGCUCUAAGGGCCAGUAUUUGAUUUGAUGCUGCCUUUCUUUUUGGCACGAGUCCCUCACGUUUUCUUCUGACUGCAUGGAGUUUUGUGAUAAAUAACUCUCUCAUGCAGUAGAGAAAAUUAUUCUUGAAGAGUUGCCCAGCCAGAAAACUAGCCUAGUCAUUUAGCCGGCAGUACACUAGCAUAUUUUGGAGUCUUUUGUUCUUAUUUGGCGAUGCAUUUUUUAUUUUAUUUUCAAAAAAGACACUAGAAAGUUUUGAAUGAAAUUUAAAAUCCCAACCAAAACAAACCUGCAAAUAUUAAUAGAAAAGGGAAAUGUGCAAACUAAUUUACAGGUUUUCAACACAUUUUUCCUUUAAGUCAAAGUUGACUGAUUUUAAAAAUACUCUGUCCAUAAUUUUGUUUAAAAUCAUACUUGGGUUAUAUAGCUCUGAUUUGUUGUACCGCAAUGAAUGGAACAGAUUUUAAUAGAUACUGGCCUAUUUUAAGAAGAGUUGCAGCAUUGAAGUAAGCUAAGUUUAAUCUUUUAUUGCUUGGUGUUGCUUUAGUCGUGGAUAUAUUAGUUGAUUUUUAUCAUUACCUUCCCUCUCACUAGAUCCUGCUUGGUGAGGAAUGUUGCACUAGAUCUCUCUUAAGGUUUUUCUGGGGUGGGAUGCUUUAAAUAGAAAAUAAUAGUGAAUAUGUCAUUAUAGAAAUAAACAGCACCUGUAACUGUCCGAUAAGAUGUGAUAAACAGGAAAAUCUUUGGUGUAGUCAGUGUGGGCCAGCUAUUUGGUGAAUGUAGUUUGGAGAUGAGGAUAGGAUUAGAGAGGUGGGCAGGUUCCUGCACAUGGGAGGAAUUAAUCUGAGGCUGAAACAGAAGUAUUUGUAUGAAGGUGAGAGUGGAAACUCAGGGGCUAAUGGAAAGAGAAAUUGUUAAUUAAUUCCAUCUGCUCAGCUCAUGACGGUGUCACAGAUGGGAUGGGAAGGGAGGCAGAAACCAUUCUUAUGGUGUUUGACCUCAAAGGCAAUAGGCCAGUUGCUCCUUCUACUGUGCUGCCUCAGCUGAGGUCAGCAAAAUCAUUUUAAGAUGGAUUUUUAUAUUUCAUAAAUGGGAAGAGGAAGUGGUUGUAUAUUCUCUAUGAAGGCUCUGACAUGAGAACUUGCUGUCUAACCUUGAACAAAAUUGUUCAAAUGUAAUGACUUAGAGGCAAAUGCCAAAUAUAUGAAGUCUUCGAGUAACCUUGAUAGAUGUGGAAAAAAAUUCUCAGUGGGCUUAAAGGUCUGCUCUCUUCCAGCUUCUUAUGCUAUUUUCAUACUGUCCUCACACAAACCUCUUGCCAUCUCUAUACACACCGUCAGCAACUGGCCUAACAGGGUACCCAUAUUGUCACAGCUUCUAAUAUCUUUUAGGUGUUUUAAAAAGGGAGACUUCCUGCAGCAAAAAAAUUUCAGUUCAACUGGAUUGAAGUAUUGUAAUUUGUAUACUCUCAGUUCUAGCCAAAAAUACUAAACCUGGCUUUUAAGAGCACCAGAAAUUAGAAAGCUCCAGGAAAAAGCUAGAACUUAUGGGUCAGUUGGUUGUUUCUAGACUACCAUGCAAACUUCCUCAUUGCUGCUGUUCAUUUAAUUUACAAUGGCAGAUGAGCACUGGUUUUGCAUCUGAAAAAUUACUGAAAAUUCAGACGUUAAAAAAAUGUUAAAGUGGGAGCUGUCAAAAUUUUUGUUAUUUAGCACAAGGCAAAGAGCAGUCUUUGUGUUCUGCAUCUGUAUUGCACCCAUCACAGUGCAUUCUUUGAUAGACAACUAUGGGCAAAUCUAUCUCGGAUAUAAAGCAAUCAUGAUUACACAAAAUGCAGUUUUUCCAUUGCCUGAAGUUUAAACAGCCUGUAGCCAAUGUUCUUCAUAAUGCUAUCAGUCAUUCUGUAACAGAAUAAUUUUUUUUUAUCACCAAAAUAUAAUAUUGGGUGUAAAUUCAGUCAAAUAUUUUUCCUGGAAUAGCAUUUUAAAGUCUUUAUUACACAUUUUCUAUUCUACAUACUAGAAAAGAUUUCUUGCUUUGUGGUUACAUGGAUACUUGCUCUGUGUAAAUAUGUUUCCCCAUUAGAAUGAAAUAUGGAAGCCUGAAUGCGUACAUUAAAUUUUCUAUAGCCAUAGGUAAUAAUCAGGUAUUAAACAGGAGGUGGGAACCGAUGAAAUCCCUUUAUGGUUUAUUUCCGGACAUCUUAAUGCUCGGUCUCUUGGAUGUCAGACUUUUGUAAGGAAAGUGUAAUGUUAUUUUUGGCUGUCAGUCAGAAGCUGUUGAUGGAAACACUUUGAAUGCUAGCAUGUAGCUAUGUGAAAGAGGAAUGUUGUUCCUCUUUCUUUUUUGAUUGCUCUGUGGAGGAUGCCAACACUGCGCUCUGUGCUGUGGUGCUGUGAUAGGAAACUUUAACCUCCAGACUUGGAAAUGGUGUGGCUGGCUGAGAAAGUAUUCAAGUAUUUCAGUACUGUGUCCAGGGCUCUCCUUGUGCUUGGGUAGCUCACUUGAUACUGCAUUGGGUGUUUGUAUGCUACAGGAACCCCUGCAGUGUUGGAGAUGUCCUUUUACUUUUUUAUGUAAGCCAGCAGAAACAAAUGCUAGUUUUUAUGUUCUGCUAGGUUCAAACAUGUUUGUCCCUUUGCUGCGAUAACCCAUCAUGAUUCUAGUACCUACUUGGGGCUGCUGAUUGCUCUUACUGAGAAUCUCAGCCCUGUGUUAUAUAGGAAGAGAGAGAGAGGUCUGUUUGUGUGAGGAGCCCCUCUGGGAGGGGAGUGACCAACAUGGUCAGAGCAGUAUCAUGUUGGGAGCAGGCUGGAGCACAGCUGCCUUGUGCCUUUCCCUCCCUGAUCCACUACAUCUUGUGGCCUCCAUCCAGCUGGACUCAGCACAUUUGUAUGUACCCAGGAUUCACUCCUUUAUCACAGUGUAAUUUGAGAACUGCUGCAUAGGUCAGAGAUGGGAAACAAGAACUUUAAAAAAACAGUGCUUUAUACCACAAUGAAGAGCCUCAUGCAUUCUUAUAGGAUUCUUUUCUUAGCAUGCACCAGUGACUAGAAGACAUUGCAUUUCUUCAUGUAUUGUGGAUUGGGACCUGGGUAAAGUCAUUCAUGGCAAAUUUGUUUGGUUCGUUUGUGAAGUUAUAAUGUUAUUAGUUAAAAACUUGCCAGUGGGACAUCCAAGUUACCUUCUAAGGCUUUUUGGAACUUUAAAGUACUUUGCUUCAGGGAUAGUAGCCUGAAGUUUGGGAGUUACUUGUGUAGGACUGAGCAAAACAUAAAAUAUAUUCUGCUGUUAAAAAUAUCAUCUCCACUUUUCUCCUGCUUCUCUGGCCCAGAAAAGGAGAGAUAUAUUAUUUGAGAGAAUCUUUCUUGGUGUCUUUACUGACUCACAAAUGAACUUUCCCAUCUUUUAUGACCCUCACAAGCAUGUCACCUGGAAGAGUUGCUAAACAGAUUAAUCAAUCCAAAAGCUGCCCUUUGUCUUUUUUCUGCUUUGCAUUGUUUCUGAGCUAUAACCUGAAGCCUCCUGGCCAGUUAUGUAUUCCUCAGUCCCCUCAGGAGUUCUUGACCUUGUCCCCACUGGCAAAUGAAAGCGGUAAGGAAUGUCUGGGCAGUCCCAGGUGGCAAAGCUGAACCACACUUCCAUCUGUGCAGGUGUUUACUAUCACAGUCUGAGCUGCUACAGUUGUUUUCCUCAUUACUGCUGUGCUGCACGACAUAUUCCUCUAAUUGCCUUCCUGGAAUGCAGCAGUUAAUGAGGCUUGAAGAUAGGAUGGGAAGGAGGAGUUAAGUUUGAGGUCCUAAGAGCUCAGGUGAGCAAGCCCAUGCCUGGGAGGGAAUUUUAGGGAAAGUUUCUCACCCAGAAUUUCCAGAAAAUGGCUUAGUGUGGGAGGCUGAUCUAAGCAGUAUGCUGACCAUAGCUUCACUGAAUAGCAGAGAAAGGAGCUCAAGUGAUGGGUGCAUCAUGAUGUGAGUAUUUUAAAUCCAUUUCUGUUUAAAAGGAAAGCUAUGUGGAAAAUUAAAUUACUUUCAGAUAAUUUUAGAAAUUAUACAAAGUAAGUCACUAUUGGUUUUUACUUUGUUAACUAGUCUCUGCUGUGCCCUAUUCCCUUUGUUCUUUAUAAUCCCAUUGUAGUAAACAAAGGAAGGAUUAUUUUGCAAGGAAGACUUAUUGCUGUUUUAUAGACUGUGCUAUCAGCUGUUCUAUGUGUUUGUGUGUAACCACAAGAACUUAGAUACAGCAAUGUGGUUUAUGCUGACAAGAGUGAUAACUUGUAAAUUUUGUAGAAAACAUUCAUUGAAUCUUAUGUAUAACAGAUGUUAAAUGCUUUAUCAAAAUAAAAUUAAAGCAACAGCAGACUGGAGCUUGUUGUUCUCCUUCUUGUAUAUUUUCAUAUACAUAUUCCUUGUGACUUUGAUGCUGUUGUCCUCUCAUACAUGAAGAAGUAGUAGACUUUAUCUACUUUUAUGUGCUGUGGUAGUUGAGUAAGUGUUGUUCCUCUGUCCCCCUCUGUUAAACAUGGGUCUUGGGAUUGGUAUGUGUGAGAGAGGUGUCUCAGGCCUCCAAGUCUUUUGCUGUUUGAAAAUCUCUAUGAACUGCAUUGUUUAUUCAUUGCUCAUGAUUUCAAGCUGCUUUUCCACAGCAGAGCUAGGAUUUUUAAAAGAAAAGUUGAGAUUUUAAUUUUGGUUUUAUAAAGAAAGUCCCUUUCCAAGCAAAUAUAUCUUAACAUUUGUAUAUCCUGUUAAGGUUAUAUUGACAUAUUUUCCUCCCUCUGUAAAAUUAGUUAUUUUCUUUUACUUAGUCUAUUAUUUAAACUUUCAUGUAAGCUAUCACUGAGGUGGUGGCUCUUUUCUCUUAGCAUCUGUACUUGGCAUUAGCAGGUGGUUUCCAUAAGCCACAUCUGUUACUUUAUAAAGGGUACGGCAUCAGCAGCUUUUCCCAGAUGUAUUUUUCUUGAAGUUGCAUGAACCAGGUUUUCAUGGUUUGAUAAAGGGCAGACUUUCUAGCUUCCUAAAAGAGCAGAACUCUGCAUGACCCUGAGAUGAGACCAGCUGGUCAGAGCAUGGUGCCGAUAACACUGGGGUUAUAGGUUUGAUUCCUAUAUGGGCCAUUCACAUACUAGUUGGUUUCAAGGAAUGAAAACUGACUGCUGUAUCCGCAUUCUGGUUUGCAUGGAAAACAUGGCAUUUGUGCAGGAUUCCUUUGAUGCAAAAGUCUGAAUUGCUGUGUCAUUGCUCAGUAAACAUCUGUGAAAUCAAGGGUGGAUGAAACUGCAUUGACUGGACUGUAGCUUUGUUUUAAAUCCUCCUUAUUUCAUGCUUUUCUAAAUGCUGAUGAAAAAGACUUUUUCCUCUCCUCUUCCCUCCUCCUGUCCAUGCUUUUCCAUGAAAAUAAAACAUCACUAUUCCAAAAUUCAAAGCACUGAUGUAUCAGCAGGAGUAUUUCUGACUUGGAUUUAUCAAGGAAGAUUCCUCAUGUUCAUAUCUGCACCAAAUGUUCAUAUUUUUAUUGCUAUAUAGUAUUUGCACAGGAGAAUGAAGGAAACCAAACAAGAAUAAUAGUAAUCACUAGGGCUGGUGACUUUUGACUUUCAGAUUUGUUAGCCAUUAUGAGAGCCAAUGAAAGCUCCAUGCUGCUGGGAGGAGCCACAAAAAAUUACUUGAGCAGCCUGUCUCAUAUAGCAGCAUGCUGUCUUGCUGAACUCUGUGUACUUGGCUUCAGUAGAGAGUUUAGAAUUGUUUAUAAACAUCUGUUCUGAAUUUGGUAGAAGGAUUGCUGACUGGCUGUGCACUCCCAUUUGCAAGACACAGUGGAACAGUUUGGACUUUAAAGAGAAAUAUCCAAAAUGCUACUGGGUAAUGAGAAUAAUGAGAAACACUGAAAAUGGGUCUUAGAUAAAUGUACUUGAUUGCUGAUACUUUAUUUUUACAUAUAAAAAAAUCCUGCAUUGGCCAAAGUGAGGAUGUUCAUACUAUUAUCACCUCGACUUUGAUGGGUCACAUCAGCAUGUAUAAGGAUACAUGUCAGGCUGGUGUUGUGAAGGGAUGCUGUGUUUGGGAAGUUGUGGUUGGAGGUACCUUAACUUGUCAGUAUAGUGCAGAAGCUGUAAUGGCUGAAAGCUUCGACAUUCUCUACCAUUUUUGAUGAGCAGCAUGGACUCUUAGUGCUCUUCUCAUUGCAGCCUGGGUCUCUUGACAGGUAUAUCCUCAACCCAUUUUCCUGUGACAGUGUUCUCUGAAGACUUGCAAAGAUGAGAAUAAGCCCUGCAUAGUUUCUUUGUUUCUUUGUUGGCCAAGGCUGGUCAGUUACUCAAGAAGUGCAAAGAUGGCAGCUUCUCAAAAUCCUUCUGCCAAGGCUGCCAAUAAACAAGAGUCAGAGGCACUGUACGAGAUACUGUUAAUGGAAAGAAAAGAUAAAUCUGACUAACUGAAGUUUCCCCCAUAAAAUCUUUAGACUUCAUGUCCAAGGGAAUCGUUGGGCUAGACUUUCUUUGGGAUUAUACAUAAACUGCAGGCAUGGUGCUUGCAUAGGUGUGCCAUUAGAUGGCCCAAAGUGUCCCCAGGUACAAGUGGUAAAUGUUUGCCUUACUUAUAGGCUGUCAUAGGUGUGGAUCAUGUCCUGGGAAGUGACAGUCCAUGAGACAGCAGGAGUAACUGCUGGUACACAUCCUGCCACAGAAGGAUGCCACACACAUACUUUUUUUUUUCUGGAAGAGCCUCUGCAAGAGGGGAGGGACUGAUAUUCUUGACUCCCUGCUUUUGAGGGUCUAUGUUGGAAACUGAGGGACAGAUUGGGUUUGGAGUUAGCUUGAGUGGUGGGAACUGGCAGAAAAGCAUUAAACAUUAUUGCAAUGAUUACAUUGCAGGGUUAUUUUUGAAGCUGAUUUAAAAAAAAAUAAUUUAAGACUUUUCUUGUACUUGAUUUGUAUGUAUUGUAUUUGCUAUGUUUGAUUACUUUGAUGAGUACUUUGCUG
ensembl:lncRNA